rnacentral:rRNA from 1 species
UAGAUGUUUGAACUGAAGAGUUUGAUCAUGGCUCAGAUUGAACGCUGGCGGCAGGCCUAACACAUGCAAGUCGAGCGGCAGCACG